rnacentral:rRNA from 1 species
AUUGAACGCUGGCGGCAUGCUUUACACAUGCAAGUCGAACGGCAGCGCGGGCUUCGGCCUGGCGGCGAGUGGCGAACGGGUGAGUAAUACAUCGGAACGUGCCCAGUAGUGGGGGAUAGCUCGGCGAAAGCCGGAUUAAUACCGCAUACGACCUGAGGGUGAAAGCGGGGGAUCUUCGGACCUCGCGCUAUUGGAGCGGCCGAUGGCAGAUUAGCUAGUUGGUGGUGUAAAGGCCUACCAAGGCGACGAUCUGUAGCUGGUCUGAGAGGACGACCAGCCACACUGGGACUGAGACACGGCCCAGACUCCUACGGGAGGCAGCAGUGGGGAAUUUUGGACAAUGGGCGAAAGCCUGAUCCAGCAAUGCCGCGUGUGUGAUGAAGGCCUUCGGGUUGUAAAGCACUUUUGGCGGGAACGAAAAGGACUGUGCCAAUACCACGGUUCGAUGACGGUACCCGCAGAAUAAGCACCGGCUAACUACGUG